UACGGGGGGGGCAAGCGUUGUUCGGAAUUACUGGGCGUAAAGGGCUCGUAGGCGGCCAACUAAGUCAUACGUGAAAUCCCUCGGCUUAACCGGGGAACUGCGUCUGAUACUGGAUGGCUUGAGUUCGGGAGAGGGAUGCGGAAUUCCAGGUGUAGCGGUGAAAUGCGUAGAUAUCUGGAGGAAUACCGGUGGCGAAGGCGGCAUCCUGGACCGACAUUGACGCUGAGGAGCGAAAGCUAGGGGAGCAAACGGG
rnacentral:rRNA from 1 species